rnacentral:rRNA from 1 species
UCCACGAUUAUUCUCGAUUUAUUUUACUAUUUAUAAGUUGGCAUAUCGCCGUAGAUGGAAUGUCCUUUAAGGGUUUAUAAACAUUCAAGAGGUUUUUAUUUGUGAAAGUAAAUCAGGUCAAGAUGUAGCUGAUAAAUAAGAAGAGAUGGGUUACAAUAAAUUUAUUUAUAACGGAUUAAUAUAUGAAAUUUAUUAUAAAGGUGGAUUUGAAGGCCACCCC